rnacentral:rRNA from 1 species
AUUGAACGCUGGCGGCAGGCUUAACACAUGCAAGUCGAGCGGGGGAAGGUAGCUAGCCACCGGACAUAGCGGCGGACGGGUGAGUAAUGCUUAGGAAUCUGCCUACUAGUGGGGGACAACAUCUCGAAAGGGAUGCUAAUAAAGCAUACGUACUACGGGAGAAAGCAGGGGAUCUUUGGACCAUGCGCUCAUAGAUGAGACUAAGUCGGAUUAGCUAGUUGGUGGGGUAAAGGCCUACUAAGGCGAAGAACUGUAGCGGGCCUGAGAGGAGGAUCCGCCACACUGGGACGGAGACACGGCCCAGACUCCUACGGGGGGCAGCAGUGGGGAAUAUUGGACAAUGGGGGGAACCCUGAUCCAGCCAUGCCGCGUGUGUGAAGAAGGCCUUAUGGUUGUAAAGCACUUUAAGCGAGGAGGAGGCUACUCUAGUUAAUACCUAGGGAUAGUGGACGUUACUCGCAGAAUAAGCACCGGCUAACUCUGUGCCAGCCGCCGCAGUAA